rfam:Toxocara canis scaffold2068, whole genome shotgun sequence.
UUCCGUCUGGCCGAGCGACCUAACGCGCUGCGUUCAGGUCGCAGCCUACUUCGGUAGGCGCAGGUUCGAAUCCUGCGGCGGACA